GAGGGUAUUGCUCAAGUGGUAGAGCACAUGCUUAGCACGCAUGAGGCCCUGGAUUCGAUCCCCAGUACCUCCU
rnacentral:tRNA from 1 species